GAUGAACGCUGGCGGCGUGCCUAAUACAUGCCAGUCGAGCGAACGGACGAGAAGCUUGCUUCUCUGAUGUUAGCGGCGGACGGGUGAGUAACACGUGGAUAACCUACCUAUAAGACUGGGAUAACUUCGGGAAACCGGAGCUAAUACCGGAUGAUAUUUUGAACCGCAUGGUUCAAAAGUGAAAGACGGUCUUGCUGUCACUUAUAGAUGGAUCCGCGCUGCAUUAGCUAGUUGGUAAGGUAACGGCUUACCAAGGCAACGAUGCAUAGCCGACCUGAGAAGGGGGCCGGCACCAGGGAACCGGACCCGGGGCCCAGCGCCCAGCGGGGGGAGCAAUGGGGGAUCCUUCCGAAAGGGGGAAAGCCUGAACGGAAAACCGCGGGGGGAUGAAUAAAGUUUUAGGGAUCUAAAAACUUUUUUAUAGGGAAAAACAAUAUGGGUACGUACCUGGGCACUUUUUGACGGUACCUAAUAAGAAACCCACGGCAAACUCCGUC
rnacentral:rRNA from 1 species